ACUAACAAGGAUUCCCCUAGUAACUGCGAGUGAAGCGGGAAAAGCUCAAAUUUAAAAUCUGGCGGUCUUUGGCCGUCCGAGUUGUAAUCUGGAGAAGUGCUUUCCGCUCUGGACCGUGUACAAGUCUCUUGGAAUAGAGCGUCAUAGAGGGUGAGAAUCCCGUCUUUGACACGGACUACCAGUGCUUUGUGAUGUGCUUUCAAAGAGUCGAGUUGUUUGGGAAUGCAGCUCAAAAUGGGUGGUAAAUUCCAUCUAAAGCUAAAUAUUGGCGAGAGACCGAUAGCGAACAAGUACCGUGAGGGAAAGAUGAAAAGCACUUUGGAAAGAGAGUUAAACAGUACGUGAAAUUGCUGAAAGGGAAACACUUGAAGUCAGUCGCGUUGUUCAGAACUCAGCCUUGCCUUGGCUUGGUGCAUUUUCUGAAUGACGGGCCAGCAUCAAUUUUGACUGUCGGAUAAAGGCCAGAGAAAUGUGGCUCCUUUGGGAGUGUUAUAGUCUUUGGUUGCAUACGAUGGUUGGGAUUGAGGAACUCAGCAUGCCUUUAUGGUCGGGGUUCGCCCACGUUCAUGCUUAGGAUGCUGGCGUAAUGGCUUUAAAUGACCCGUCUUGAAACACGGACCAAGGAGUCUAACAUGCCUGCGAGUGUUUGGGUGGAAAACCCGAGCGCGCAAUGAAAGUGAAAGUUGGGAUCUCUGUCGUGGAGAGCACCGACGCCCGGACCAGACCUUCUGUGACGGAUCCGCGGUAGAGCAUGUAUGUUGGGACCCGAAAGAUGGUGAACUAUGCCUGAAUAGGGUGAAGCCAGAGGAAACUCUGGUGGAGGCUCGUAGCGAUUCUGACGUGCAAAUCGAUCGUCAAAUUUGGGUAUAGGGGCGAAAGACUAAUCGAACCAUC
rnacentral:rRNA from 1 species